rnacentral:ncRNA from 12 species
UUUGACCUCGGAUCAGGUA